GUUUGAUCCUGGCUCAGAACGAACGCUGGCGGCAGGCUUAACACAUGCAAGUUGAACGGGAUUGCUAAGUGCUUGCACGGAGCAAUGAGAGUAGCGCACUGGUGAGUAACACGUGGGAACAUGCCUUUUGGUGGGGGACAACAGAGGGAAACUUCUGCUAAUACCGCAUAAGCCCUAAGGGGGAAAGAUUAAUUGCCGAAAGAUUGGCCCGCGGAAGAUUAGGUAGUUGGUGGGGUAAAGGCCUACCAAGCCGACGAUCUAUAGCUGGUCUGAGAGGACGAACAGCCACAUUGGAACUGAGACACGGUCCAGACUCCUACGGGAGGCAGCAGUGAGGAAUAUUGGGCAAUGGAGGAAACUCUGACCCAGCCAUGCCGCGUGAGUGAAGAAGGUUUUCGAAUUGUAAAGCUCUUUCGGAUACGAGGAUGAUGACGGUAGUAUCUAAAGAAGCCCCGGCAAACUUCGUGCCAGCCGCCGC
rnacentral:rRNA from 1 species